rnacentral:lncRNA from 1 species
AGAAAGCUUCUGAAUUUCAAGCAGAAAGUGGAAGGAGCUCCACAGAGCAAUUUUCCUCUUUCCUUGGGCUGCGUGUGCAGAGCGUAGACAAUGAAAAUCUCCGCCCCCUCCCCCAUGCUCUCUAGUCUACAAGAUUUUUUUUCUUUCCUUCACAACGAUGGAAGCUAUGUAAAAUCAAAUACACAGAGAUGUACUUUUUUUUUUUAAGGCACAGACUAACAAACCAAAGGACCUGACCACGGAUUAUCCAAGAACGCACCUGCUGGGGAGCGCUCUGGGGUCUCCGCACAAAACCUGCUCUUGAGCCCUUUGGCUUUCUUCAAGCGAGCGCAGUCCGUCCAUCCCCCCCUGGCCCACCCAGCCGCAAGGGAUGCUGUGAAAAGAGCCGCUGCUUGCCGCCUCCGGCCUGCCGUCCAGAGGGCUCCGCCCGUAGAGGUCAACUCCCCUCAUUCUUCUUUCCAUCUUGCCCUCCCUCCGCCGAGCCCAGACUCGGAUCUCCUCCCGACUCCCGACUCCCGCCGCAGUCAGAGAGAGCACAUCUGCUGCGCUGCCCUUAAAUCUACGCCCAGAGCGGGGCUCAGACCCGAUCUCUGCUCUCCAGAGCCAGAGGAAGCUGGAGCAAGCAGUCUUUUCUCUUCGCAGUAAAAUCAUAGCCAGACCAGAUGGGCCCCAGCUCUCCCGGGACUCGGCAGGCUUAUAUGGAAUAAAAUAAUGUAUAUUUGUAUUACUUCAGCACCAUGAAUUUAGAAGUUACAGCAUAUUGUGAAGCAGACACAUCUUUGCUAUGAAAACUGUGACUCACUACAUCAGUGCUGGUAUAAUAAAAUGCUUCUAAUGAUGUAGUUGUUAAGUUUUCUAAAAUAAAGAUCAGUUUAUUUUGUGAUGUCACAAUGAAAGAGAUGUUUAAUUUUUACUAGAUUUUAAAAUAAAGCUCAUAAAAUAUUAAUAAGCUAAUAUUAAAAAAAUAUAAGAUUUUACAAUUUGUUUUGUGUGUGUGGAUAACUCAUGAUUACAUGUUAAAUCAGCUUAGAUAUUUAACCAAGCAUGUCAAGUUCCAUAUAAGAUCAGUAUGUCUGUCUUAAGAUCAGUAUGUCUGUCUUCUGAACCCUGGUUUUGUGCAGCAAGCAUUAGCAAUGCGUAAGAGAGUAAAUGAAGAAAAGAAAACUGUUAUGAUUCCUA